UAGGGAAUCUUCCGCAAUGGACGCAAGUCUGACGGAGCAACGCCGCGUGAGUGAAGAAGGAUUUCGGUUCGUAAAACUCUGUUGUUAGAGAAGAACAGCGCAUAGAGUAACUGUUAUGCGUGUGACGGUAUCUAACCAGAAAGCCACGGCUAACUACGUGCCAGCAGCCGCGGUAAUACGUAGGUGGCAAGCGUUGUCCGGAUUUAUUGGGCGUAAAGCGAGCGCAGGCGGUCAAUUAAGUCUGAUGUGAAAGCCCCCGGCUCAACCGGGGAGGGUCAUUGGAAACUGGUUGACUUGAGUGCAGAAGAGGAGAGUGGAAUUCCAUGUGUAGCUGUGAAAUGCGUAGAUAUAUGGAGGAACACCAGUGGCGAAGGCGACUCUCUGGUCUGUAACUGACGCUGAGGCUCGAAAGCGUGGGUAGCAAACAGG
rnacentral:rRNA from 1 species